GAGGUAGAGGCUCACCAGGGCGACGAUGCGUAGCCGGCCUGAGAGGGUGGACGGCCACAUUGGGACUGAGACACGGCCCAAACUCCUACGGGAGGCAGCAGUGGGGAAUAUUGCACAAUGGAGGAAACUCUGAUGCAGUGACGCCGCGUGCAGGAAGAAGGUUUUCGGAUUGUAAACUGCUUUAGACAGGGAAGAAGAAAGACAGUACCUGUAGAAUAAGCUCCGGCUAACUAC
rnacentral:rRNA from 1 species